ensembl:lncRNA
CCGCUCCCAUAUCUAUGCCCGCGUCUACGCAACCGACGCCGGGAACGCAAAUGUUGUUGUUUAUAUCGCUGUCCCACUAGAUGGACCUCGGGGAUACACACGGGCGAGAUUCCAGGGGCCUUGAUUGCCCGUUUAUCAGAUGAGGGCGCCUUGCGACCACCUGUCCGUGAUGACGCUCAGGUCUAUUCCGUGGUUUCAGUUGUUCCCGUGCCCCGGGGCCUACCCUGGAUACCCCAUGCGUGUGAUUGCUUAUUGUUACAUGACCAGUUAACUCCUCCUCACAUCCUUAGUGUGUGGUCAUCUAGGGAUGGGUUGAGGGGGAUUGCCAUUCGUUGUGUACCUCAUGUCUUUCUGAUAUUAUUAUUAUUAUUUAGGGACACGUUUCAUGGUUACAUUUCUUUCCUGUGAUUGUUAUUGUGUAGUGUUUGUGUGAUUGUCGCAUUUUGUUUAUAUCGUUAUUGUUUACUGUUAGUUUUGUUGUUGCAUUUUGUUGUUGUUGUUAUGGUUUGGUGUUGGUUUUGUUGUGUAUCAUCUGCUGCCAGUAUUGUUGGUAUUGUCUGCUCGCGAUGUAAGGCCGGGGUGGAUGCCACCCCCCCUAGGUGGGGUGUGCAUGGCAUACCCAUGUCUGAAGCAUGGGUAGCGUUUCUCCCACGUGGUUCCCCAUACACCCGGUCCGGCGAGUUGUUUUAGUCCCAUGCUCAUGGUUGUUUGUUUUUAUGGUAAUUUGCCUUCUUUCUGUUAUUUCUAAUAGUGUUAUAAUGGUAGUCCCGCGCUGGAGUCCUAUCCCUCGUACCCCUAAUGAGUAAAAGUCGUCUUGCGACGACUUGAGGGGGAUAUGUUGGGCAAAAUAACCUGCUGAGUACAUCACAUGUACAGUAUAAAUAUAGCUAACUCCUACCCUAGCCUGAUGAGCACAUCACAUGGCAGACACAUUACAAUAUAGUCAACUCUUGCUCUAACCCAACGAACACAAACGUGAUAAUAUAUAGUCAGGUCAAGGCCGGAGCCGAAGGCCCCAUUUCCCAGGCUGGCAGAUGGUGGACACUCAGACAAUGCACCAGUCAUCCUCAAGAACGGGAGAGCCACAUUAAUUUAUCACACAGGAGACACUUUGAAGCUCUCCCCCGUUAGAAGGAACCAAGAGAAACACCUGCCCAUACCAAGGGCCUGAGAGCCACAUUAAAUUAUCACACACGAGACACUUCGGGGGGGGGCACUCCCCCGUUUUAAUUUAUCACACCGGAGAUACGAGGAGCUCUCCCCCGUUAGGAGGCAUAUACCAGGGCCUGAGAGCCACAUUAAUUUAUCACACAGGAGACAUUUCGAAGCUCUCCCCCGUUAGGAAGAACACAAGGGAUACACACCAGGGCCUGGGAGCCAAGGCCAAGCAAAAACACACAGAACCACACACACCUCAAACGCACACACCUCAUUGAAAGGAGGAUACAGCAUAAAACUGUAUCACACAGGGACUCUUCAUCUUCUUCUGAAGCAGACCUUCCACGGAGGCGAAGCUCUGGACGAACCAUCAGCGCUGAUUAGGGACUUAGACAUAUUCGAUUUCUCACGCUUUAUGACACUGUAUAACCGUUGCCACUUUACUUAAUAAAUCCAAGGUCCUCGUGCCGACAGACUUUAUUACCUCUCCGUCUCAUUUUAUCUGGUCCAGUAACUAGACAGACCGUUUUUCCCCUCACGUGUCGGACUUGCACCCGGUCGUC